AUUGUAGGCUGAAACUCGCCUACAUGAAGCUGGAGUUACUAGUAAUCGCAGAUCAGAAUGCUGCGGUGAAUGCGUUCCCGGGUCUUGUACACACCGCCCGUCACACCACGGAAGUUGGGGGCGCCCGAAGCCACUUAGCUAACCCUUUUGGGAAGCGAGUGUCAAGGUGAAAUCAAUAACUGGGGUGAAGUCGUAACAAGGUAAC
rnacentral:rRNA from 1 species